GAUCCUGCCAGUAGUCAUAUGCUUGUCUCAAAGAUUAAGCCAUGCAUGUGUCAGUACACGCCGCUCUAAGGCGAAACCGCGAAUGGCUCAUUAAAUCAGUUAUGAUUCAUUUGAUCUAAAUCCCUUUUACAUGGAUAACCCUGGUAAUUCUAGAGCUAAUACAUGAAACAUCAACUCUGACUGGAAGGGAAGAGUGCUUUUAUUAGUUGAAAACCAGUCGGGCCUCGGUCCGUCAAACACAAAGUAUGGUGAUUCUGAAUAACUUUGAGCGGAGGGCACGGUCUCCGCACCGGCCCCUUGUCUUUCGAGUUUCUGCCUUAUCAUGCUGUGGACUGUAGGCCAUGCGCCUACAGUGGCUGUAACGGGUAACGGAGAAUCAGGGUUCGAUUCCGGAGAGGGAGCCUGAGAAACGGCUACCACAUCCAAGGAAGGCAGCAGGCACGCAAAUUACCCAAUCCCAGCCCGGGGAGGUAGUGACGAAAAAUAACGAUGCGGGACUCUUCCGAGUCUGCGUAAUCGGAAUGAGCACAAUCUAAAUCCUUUAGCAACAACCAAUUGGAGGGCAAGUCUGGUGCCAGCAGCCGCGGUAAUUCCAGCUCCAAUAGCGUAUAUUAAAGUUGUUGCGGUUAAAAAGCUCGUAGUUCGAGCUCUGUUCCGGACUGGCUGGGGAGGUCACCGCCCGGUGCUUGCCCGUCAGGUUCCGAACAGCUUCCGCGAGCGGAAGCCAAGCCGGUUUGGCCGGGGUGCUCUUGAUUGAGUGUCCCGCGCGGCCGGCCAGUUCACCUUGAACAAAUGAGAGUGCUCAAAGCAGGCUACUCUUGAAACUAAAGCCCGAAUGUUACCUGCAUGGAAUGAUGGAAGAUGAUCUCGGUUCCAUUUUGCUGGCUGUGGGAAUCCGAGUUAAUGAUAAACAGGGACUGUCGGGGGCAUCCGUACUACGACGCGAGAGGUGAAAUUGAGUGACCGUCGUAGGACGAACAACAGCGAAAGCAUUUGCCAAGAAUGUCUUCGUUGAUCAAGAACGAAAGUUAGAGGAUCGAAGGCGAUCAGAUACCGCCCUAGUUCUAACCCUAAACGAUGCUGACUAGCAAUUCGCCGUCGUUAUUCCCAUGACGUGGCGAGACGCCCCCGGGAAACCUCAAGUCUUUGAGUUCCGGGGGUAGUAUGGUUGCAAACUGAAACUUAAAGGAAUUGACGGAAGGGCACCACCAGGAGUGGAGCCUGCGGCUUAAUUUGACUCAACACGGGAAACCUCACCAGGCCCGGACACCAGCAGGAUUGACAGAUUAAGAGCUCUUUCUCGAUUUGGUGGGUGGUGGUGCAUGGCCGUUCUUAGUUGGUGGAGUGAUUUGUCUGGUUAAUUCCGGUAACGAACGAGACUCUGGCCUACUAACUAGUGGACGUGGGUUUUGGUGCAUGGGCCCCGUUCGACAAUGUCUUCUUAGAGGGAUGAGCAGCGAGUAUAGCUGCAGGAGAUUGAGCAAUAACAGGUCUGUGAUGCCCUUAGAUGUCCUGGGCCGCACGCGCGCUACACUGAAUGGGUUAGCGGGUUCUCCUUCUCCGAGAGGAGCGGGAAAUCGCGUGAAAACCAUUCGUGAUAGGGAUUGGGGCUUGCAAUUAUUUCCCAUGAACGAGGAAUUCCCAGUAAGCGCAAGUCAUCAGCUUGCGUUGAUUAAGUCCCUGCCCUUUGUACACACCGCCCGUCGCUACUACCGAUUGAAUGAUUUAGUGAGGCCUUCGGACUGGCGGUCUUGGACUGGGCUCCUCUCGUUGUUCCUCCUCGUGAGGCAGCGGGGGACCCGCCAUGACGAGCCGGAAAGAUGUCCAAACUUGAUCA
rnacentral:rRNA from 1 species